rnacentral:misc_RNA from 1 species
CCUUUCUCGCUGCUCAGAAAUGUUUUGUCAUCGAAAGUAUUUCUUAUUAAUUUUAGAAUAUGUGACGGAUCGGGGAAUAUGGCAACUUGUUUUCCAUUGUAUGUAAAUACUGGGUUUAUUACGUCGCUUUCAAUAUCACACCCCAGCAAUUUGGCCAUUGAAAAAUUUGCUGGGCAACCGUCAAAAGUAACUGUUGCAAUAUCAAGGCCACAUUCACUUAUUAAGCUUAUACAUCAGUAAUUACGUUGAUAAAAAAGUAACCUACUGGAAGUUUCCAGCUUCCAUUAAUACUAGUCAGCAUGAAGACUAAAGCAUCUUUGGCAAUAGGUAAAGCAUCACUUUCCAAUAGGCUACCACAGUUGACAUAACCUACGUAAUUUUUUCCAUUCUAUUGGACAGAUUUCGGAUCAUCGAAACACAAGCUGCAUAUCCAUUUUCGCUCUGAUUUGGCAUUUUUUACUAGUAACUUAAGGGCUUCAUGUGAUUCGGCACAAAAGCCGGGUUCUCCUUCAACAGUUUCGUACCAACGUACCAAUGUGCGAGCAUGUGGUAGACAUGUAUUGAAUGAUUUUCUUACAAAAUUGUAAGCACGUGGACUUAUGAAAUGUAAAUUUAGCGCGAAUUUCCGCACUUUAGGUAAAAACUUUGAUUUGUUACUUCCUAAAAAAUCUGUUUUUGUGGAUCCAUUGAAGACAAAAAAUCUGCUGUUUCUUGAUUUAUAAGAUUUUUGAAUUGCAAUUUAUCUACGAUAACAGAGAGCUUUGCGUUAUUUUUUGCAAUUCUUCGACAUUUCGAUCUCACCACAACUAAUUUCUUUCUCCGUGACUCUGCCAACAAUUUUUGUCGAUUCAAUUUUUUUAUUAAUUUCUUUUUUCGUGGUGUCAU